rfam:Roseburia sp. CAG:45 genomic scaffold, scf50
UCUUAAGGACUGUUAGGGGCACUUGGAAUUUUGUCCGGCAACAGGCAACGCCGGCACAGGGACGUGCCGGCGAGGCGCAUAUGAACACGGAUGUGAAUUUGCGCCGGUUGCCAGACAAAAGAUUAUCCAGCCAAAAUUCUUAGUGCCCCUUGCAGGCUUUAUCC